UCUAAAAUGUAAUGUUUGCUUUAAGGAGCCGCAUAGCUCUUCACCCAAUAUGAAGUGCUGCUAGGAGAGCAGUUCACUUCUCAACGUGAACGUUUCAUCACAAGGGACAAUGCAGAGGUGGUAUCCAAAACAAUCUAGUGCUCCUGAGCUCCUCUGACGUGCAUUGAUACUUCAGCAAUGCCAUGUAGUAUUUCUCCUGCGCUACCGGACGGUGACAGAAUCAGUCGGGAAUUGAUUGGAGAGCCGAUGUGACCAGUAGCUAGCACUACACACAGCACUAUAAAAAUGUGUUGUUGAUUUGUUAGGAAACAAGCACAUAUGCAGCGCCCGAAACAAUGGCGUAGUGUAGACAGCGCGACUUGGCCUUGAACCUUUCCUUUUUUUUUUACAAGCAUUGAGCAAUGGAAUGUUCGUCGGUGACUACGCAGUCUGUGUUAUCUAGGAUGUGUCUACUUCGUGUCUACGCGCAUGCCAUACAGUUUACACGUAUGUGUAUACGAUGUACCAGUACCACAACCCACGGUCGUGGUGGAUCUGACGCCAUGGUCAUGAGUUGUGGCGCCCGCAGUUUGUUGUAUGUUUCAAAGCGGCGGCGAGAAAAAGAAAUUGUUGAUGUACUUUUGACGGAAAUGUCUGUUUGUACAACGCGGGGCACAUUUAUACGCUGACGUUGUAAGCUGCCAUAACUAAGCUUAAGAUUUAUUCCAUGACGCCAAGUCAAACCGAGCGGAAAAUAGACUGGAAGAAAUUAUAUUCUGUGGUUUUACGUGCCAAAAGCAGGAUAUGAUUAUGAGGGACGCCGCAGUGGGAGACUCUUAAAUAAUUUUGACUUCCAAGGGUUGUUUAACAUGUACCCAAUGCACGGUACACGGGCGUCUUGUUUUGUUUUUUUUAUUCAUCCCCAUUGAAAUAGAUUGGAAACGCGUUCAUAAAGUGGUGAUUCCACCUUGCUGAACGGCCCGUUUGGCACUGGUGCCUCACUGCUCACUGACACUAGCGUGAUGACUGCAGGGCUGACGAACUGAUCUUGGUGACGCACGUACUCAUGGCGGAGCACUGUCGAACCAAGCCAUCAAGCAGCUGGAUGCCGCACGACUACGGCCAAGGUACCGCCACUGCACUUGUGCGUGCGGUGAGCAAGGCCCUGAGUUCCGACGGCGUCGUUGGCCAAGUGGGAUGGGCGCUGUUCGAGCUGCCGUUCGAGGAUGCCGCUGGAGUUUGUGCAGCCAAUGAAAACUUCCCGCGGGUCCGCGCGGCUCGACAAGAGCUCUUCCCUACCGGAAAAUGACUGUGCGAACUGAUAAUAUACAAGCAGUCACUAACAUAUCUAGAAGAGGGCGGUUAUGUGGACUUGUUGCUCAGAUAUAUAUUAAAGUGGAAUUAGCCGUAGCGCAACACCAGGACAUGGAUACAAGAAUCCCUCCGGAUCAGUCAUUUCUCGUUUCCAUGUCCUAUUGUUGCGGUACAGU